AGAGUUUGAUCCUGGCUCAGGACGAACGCUGGCGGCGUGCCUAAUACAUGCAAGUCGAGCGCGGGAAGCCGGACUGAUCCCUUCGGGGUGACGAUCGGUGGAACGAGCGGCGGAUGGGUGAGUAACACGUGGGUAACCUGCCUGUAAGCCUGGGAUAACUCGCGGAAACGCGAGCUAAUACCGGAUGACACGAAAGUUCGCAUGAACUUUUGUUGAAAGGCGGCUUUUAGCUGUCACUUACAGAUGGGCCCGCGGCGCAUUAGCUAGUUGGUGAGGUAACGGCUUACCAAGGCGACGAUGCGUAGCCGACCUGAGAGGGUGAUCGGCCACACUGGGACUGAGACACGGCCCAGACUCCUACGGGAGGCAGCAGUAGGGAAUCUUCCGCAAUGGACGAAAGUCUGACGGAGCAACGCCGCGUGAGUGAUGAAGGUCUUCGGAUCGUAAAACUCUGUUGUUAGGGAAGAACAAGUAUAAGGCGAAUAACCUUAUACCUUGACGGUACCUAACCAGAAAGCCCCGGCUAACUACGUGCCAGCAGCCGCGGUAAU
rnacentral:rRNA from 1 species